GUGUCAGCAGCCGCGGUAACACGUAGGAUCCGAGCGUUAUCCGAAUUCACUGGGCGUAAAGCGCGUGCAGGCGGUACGAUAAGUUGGAUGUGAAAUCUCCUGGCUCAACUGGGAGGGGACGUUCAAUACUGUCGAACUAGAGGGCGGUAGAGGGAGGUGGAAUUCCCGGUGUAGUGGUGAAAUGCGUAGAUAUCGGGAGGAACACCAGAGGCGAAGGCGGCCUCCUGGACCGCACCUGACGCUCAGACGCGAAAGCUAGGGGAGCGAACGGGAUUAGAUACCCCUGUAGUCC
rnacentral:rRNA from 1 species